ensembl:lncRNA
UUUUUUAGGGGUCCAAGCCAACAGGUUGGAUCCCUAUUGUUUUUGUAAGGAUUUUUCCUAUUAUACUUACCUCCCUAAAAGUGGGACCACAGCCCAAACCGUAAAUGGUGCCGACACGCCAAUUGCAUGACUAGAUCCAGAUCUCUUCGGACUAUGCAGACGACAAAAUCCAGACCCGCCGGUCACUAGGUGGCGCUAUACCAAGGAAUACGCGUUUGGGGCUAUAACUCCCACACCGAACCUCCCACAUUCAAAACCUUGUACACACAGAUUCACUGGAGUCUGCUGCAUCUUUUGGCAUAGGCCACGCCCAUUUGCGUCUAGAAUUUUUUUUCGCAAAAUCGCGAAAACCGCAAAACUGUUUUUUCGCUACUCCUCCCACAUUUCUCGACCAAUCAACACCAAACUUUGCACUCCGCAUCUUCAGACGCACACCCAAAGAAACCCUCAGACAGUUUUUUGAUCCGACUUUCGACGACGAAACGGUAGCGUUUUGAAUAUUG